rnacentral:rRNA from 1 species
UACGGAGGGGGCGAGCGUUGUCCGAAGUUACUGGGCGUAAAGCGCGCGUAGGCGGGUUGGCAAGUCCGCUGUGAAAGCCCGGUGCUUAACGCCGGAGGGUCGGUGGAUACUGCCAGUCUUGAAGGUGCUAGGGGAAGAUGGAAUUACCAGUGUAGCGGUGAAAUGCGUAGAUAUCGGGAGGAACACCGGUGGCGAAGGCGGCGAUCUGGGUCGAUACUGACGCUGAGGUGCGAAAGCGUGGGGAGCAAACAGG